rnacentral:lncRNA from 1 species
AAACUAACUUUGGAUAGAGUAAUGGAUCAACGAAACGUUGUUAAGAAUGUCAACCUCCUCAACCAACCUCCUGUCAACUAACCUCCUGCAUGUCAUUGCCCGACUAUGACGCCAUAGCAAGUAGCGUCAUAGGCGCAGGAUCUUGGUGUUCAACGUGGACAACAUCCCAUCAUUGCUCGACCAGUUCGUGGAGGGCGAGGGCAUUACCAGUAAAACCUCCUUCAUUGGAGUUUGGGGCUCCUCCUUCCCAUGGCAUUCUGAGGAUAUGCGCCUGUGGAGUGCCAACGUCCUACUGUACGGGGCACCAAAAUACUGGUCAUUGGUCAAUCAUGGAUAAGAGCACUUUAUCUCGAGAAGACUUUCUCCGAAGAUUCAAGAAUGAUUUAGCGGUGCUCCAGAAUGAUAUCGAUGCAUUUGCAACAUCCAGCACAGACAGGUCAGCUGCCUCCUCCAGCCAAAACAGCUCACCUUUCUCAUACAGUCGAUCCACUCCUACAAGAGCAUCUUCAUCUCUUACUUUCCACGUAACCAUACCCCUCGAGUCCGAACACUGAAAUAGACACGGUAGGAUUCGCACGUUCGAAUUUAGGGAUAUCUUUCAUUGCGACAGGAAAUGUCACGCAAGAGAAAUCGAAUGCGUCGAGGUAAGGUGUAUACUUUGAUACCCUCUCUUUAUGCUUCGUAAUUGCUGGCAAUUUCUGACCUAGCACUGAAUAUCUAAAACAUCCGUAAUCGGUAUUUUUAACAUUUACAACAAAGUUGGUUCGAAAAGGAAGUGGGAUGAAACUGGAGGCUUUUCUUAUUGCAUCACAUCGAUUGAUUCUAAAUUCCGUUCCGAGAAUUUGUCUAAGCACAUAACCCGAACCGUUCAUAUAAAAUUCUCCACUUUCUUGAAUCACACUGGAUGUGAGUUCAUUCACUUUGACUGUUAAAUCGAAUUCACGGAAAAUAUCGGUAUUGAUAGUUUUAAAAGUAAAUAAUUGAACAUCAGCGUCGGGGUCAUUGAUAUCUUCAGCUUUAACAUAUCGACGGUGAAACUACCAAACCACGUAUCUCGUUUGCGGUGUUUAAAAAAUCUACGCUCGCAUUUUAUUUUUUGAAGUAGACCAAAUCAAUAUCAUUCCUUGAAAUUUUGACAGAAUUUUCUCCGCACGAAGAGGAAAAAUCACAGAAAUUGUCAAGACUGGACGUUAAGUAGUAUUUCAUUUAAAAAAUAAAGUAUGACAGGAAGUCUGCGACGUCGCAAACCGAGAUACGUGGUUUGGUAGUUUCACCGUCGAUAUUCCGCGUACACUAUAAUAUUCACUUUUAUGCUUUUACACGAUUCUAAACGUGCGUAUUUUAUUCGUAAUCAAAGGCACAACCGAUUCUUCAAGAUAUGUAGUAUAAUCAAGCACUUCCGCGUUAAAAUUUUUCAGAAAGUAGGUUUCAAGUCUUCGCUGGACAGCAGAUUCCACCAAUCUCAUAGCCUCAGUACUUCGGAGGAGAUUUCGUACAUGUGCAGCAGACAAUUCAUGCUUCGACUUCUUCUUGUCGUAUCUGAUCAUGCAGACUGAACAGAGGGUCAACUUUCGCGGUUUUGCUUUCUUCCGCAUCCUGAAAAUGGAUUUAAACGCAUUUGAUCACGUAGAUGUAAAAAUUGAACGCGGUGCUGGAUUUUUUAUUAUUUUUGUUUUGUUUUUCGAAUGUUACAGGAAACGGCGUUGUCCGUGCUCAGCAUUAUUUCAUAAACAAAAUCCGAAUUCUCACCUUAAACCGAAGAGUAGACAAGGAAAAACACAGCAGAAGAUGACACGAAGUGGAAAACGAUACUGAUUCGUUUGUUUUUGUUACAUUAUUAAUUCUUAAAUGAUUUUUUUCUUAUUCUACAUGAAGUUGUUUCCGAAUUCUCAUCUAAAACCACUGAGUAAAAGGAUGUCGCUGAAGAAGAUGACACGAUCACAGACGAGAUAUUAACAUUACUUUGAUUCAUUUUUUUGUUUCAUGAUAAUGUUUCAUUUCUUCAAAUCUUCAAUGAUCUUUUUUUAUUCUACAUGAACUUGUUGUUUAUUUAUUCGUCUACACCCUAUUUGAUUAAUAGUAAAGAAUUAUAACACAAUAUGCCUUCACGAACCUGCACACGGGACAUAUUUUUUGUCAUGUAUGCCCCUGACUACUAGGGAAAUCUAAAUAAUUCUGAUAAUGCAACAAGUUUACAUUUUGAACAUCAUCAUUCUUGUACGAAUAUUUGCCAGCAGAAUGACUGAUCGGCUUUAUUACUCUCAUAAUUAAAGUUGUGGGACUACAUUUGAUUGAAACCAGGAUGUUGAGAUUGGUAUUGGUUACCCGAAUCAUUAGACUUGAUUUUAUUGAUUUUCCUUUCUAUUUAAGAACUUUAAAUAUUAAUUACUAUGGUUUUUAUUUUAUUUUUAAAUUUAUGUCUUCUCCUUUCAAAAUAG